rnacentral:rRNA from 1 species
AGCCUGAACGCUGGCGGCGUGGCUAAGACAUGCAAGUCGUACGGUCUUCCGCAAGGGAGACAGUGGCGAACGGGUGAGUAAUGUAUCGCUAACGUACCCCUGUGUCUGGGAUAGCUGAGGGAAACUUCAGGUAAUACCAGGUGAUAUCAUUGUCCUGCAUGGGAUGAUGCUCAAAGGGAAACCGCAAAGGGAGCGGGCGAUAUCGUAUCAGCUAGUUGGUGAGGUAACGGCUCACCAAGGCAAUGACGCGUAGCCGGACUGAGAGGUCGGCCGGCCACAUUGGGACUGAGACACUGCCCAGACUCCUACGGGGGGCUGCAGUAACGAAUCUUCCGCAAUGCACGCAAGUGUGACGGAGCGACGCCGCGUGUGGGACGAAGUCCUUCGGGAUGUAAACCACUGUCAGGGGUAAGAAGUUCUGAUCUACCCAGAGGAAGGCGACGGCUAACUCUGUGCCAGCAGCCGC